rnacentral:tRNA from 1 species
GCCUGGCUGGCUCAGUCAGUAGAGCACAAGACUCUUGGUCUUAGGGCUGUGAGUUCAAGCCCCACAUUGGGCA